UACAGAGGGUGCAAGCGUUGUUCGGAAUUAUUGGGCGUAAAGGGCGCGUAGGCGGUGCUGUAAGUCUGUAGUGAAAUCUCUGGGCUCAACUCAGAGUCUGCUAUAGAAACUGCAGUGCUGGAGUGUGGGAGAGGUGGGUGGAAUUCCACGUGUAGCAGUGAAAUGCGUAGAGAUGUGGAGGAACACCGAUGGCGAAGGCAGCUCGCUGGGACGGUACUGACGCUGAGACGCGAAAGCGUGGGGAGCGAACAGG
rnacentral:rRNA from 1 species